ensembl:lncRNA
GUCCAACUCUUUGUGACGCCAUGGACUGUAGCCCACCGGGCUCCUCUGUCCAUGGGAUUCUCCAGGCAAGAAGGCUGGAGUGGGUUGCAUGCCCUCCUCCAGGGGGUCUUCCUGACUGUAAAUGUCCUUUCUCAAGUUAAGGAAAUUCCCUUCUAUUCCCACUUUCCUGAGCGUCAUUUUUAAAAUCAACAAGUGUUGAAUUUCAUCAAAAUCUUAAUCUAUUGAGAUGAUUUUACAUUUUGCUUCUUUCUUUUUUAGAUUUUCAAAUGUUAAGCCAAUCUUGCAUUCUAGAGGAAGACUUCACUUGUUUUGGACACGUUCUGCAUAACUUCAGCCCUCUUGCUGCAGCGAGCCUGGCUCUGUGACACCGCGUGCUCCCCUGGGUGACAGUCCCCGCACCAUUUGAAGAGCGCUGUUCAGUGUAACGUCCUGCAGUUACCGAGACACUCCGUGUCCUGAUGAGACGGGGAACCGAGCUCUGUUCACAGAGCGGAAGAAUGGACUCCGCAAACUCGCAAACAUUCAAGCAGGCAAAGUUUAUUUCAAAGGAUAGAGCUACAAAGCCCUCAGCAUAGACUCUGAGAGCGGGUGAACCCCCAGAGGCGGGAACAGCAGCAGCUUUUCUGUCCUCGUCAGACUCGACCUGUCCGUCCUUGGCUGGCCCGGGGCCCGACGCCUGUGAUUUCUGACCCGUGAGUGAACGGCCAGUGUCUGUCCCGUCCGUUGGCCGGUGGCUCUGUGGCAAGCAGCGUUGUGCUGACUGGAACGACCCCACAAGAAGCAAGCGUUAUUAUCUUUUAGAAGAUAAGAAAAUUAAGGGUGAGAGCACAGGAGUAGUUUUCUUAAGGGCACCAGAUGGAGCAGAGCCAGGCUUGACCCCUGGGCCACCUCAGCCAGCAGCCCCAGCCCGUGACCCCUGCUCUCUGCCACCCUGGGGCCUCCGUGUGGGAGGCUGGCGGCCUGUGCAGCUCGGUCGCCAUUUGCAGAGCGUUGAUUCCUCAGUAGGGGCCCUUAAAAACUUCCUCAGCUUUUUAUCUCGCAGCUUCCCAUGUGUCUGUGUCCACACCUACUUUUAUACACUGCCCUCCUGUCUUUGCAGGAGCACAUACAGGCACACAGGUUAACACCAUGAGUACAUACACACACACUCAGACACACACACUCGCGUACAUGCAGAUAUACAAAUACACACCAGUCACAGGUACUGCAGCAACCAGGAGACGUGGGGGCAUCCUGUGCUGGCAGCCAGGUGGGAUGCACAGGACCACCCACCCAAUUCCAGAGAGGGUUGGUAAAGCCUCAGCACACAGUGGCCGUGGAAAAACGAAGGAUGGCUUUUAUGUACAGUUUCUUAAAAAUAAC